CAAAGAAGCAGACUGUGCAAAGAAGACUGGGUUUUGUGGCUUACGUGUCUCAUUCAGUGUGCAAAAUAGCAAAUAAGAGAAGAAGCAGGUAGCUGAACUGUGAUCUUCACUGCCAUAAAGGUAAGAGUGUGCUUUAAAGUAAGCGAUUCUUACAUCAGUCAGUUGAAGGGUAGGAGAAAAAAAAACACUAGGCUAUGAAUGCUUCAAAGUAAUUGUGUAGCCUGUGAGAAAACUCAGAGAUGGUUUCAUGUUUUCGUAGUUUAUGUACGGGGGGGAGAAGGAGGGGAGGAAGAAUAUUGCUGCUGGAUGGACCAACGGGCAAAGCGUUGAUUUGUACUGAGAGUCAACUACUGCUUGCGGACAGAUCUGCAAUGUGCUUUGUGACUUAGAAAUACUAAAGUAUUAGGCCACCAUGAUGGAAAAACAGCAAGCAGAUUUCAG
rnacentral:lncRNA from 1 species